GGCGCAGAUUGGUCCGGGAGGCUCGCUUCCCAUCCUCCUCCGCGGCGCGGACUCGCGGUGGGGAGCGUUUCCGGAAGGGGCGAGGCGGGGCGCCGCGCCGCAGGCCGGUGUGACUGCGGGUCUGAGUUGUGCCUGUGGCUGCGGCUGCGCGCUGCGCCUGGGUACAGUCUAAGUGUUGGAGGAUAGUCAGGGUGGAGGAUGGCGACUCUACAUCUCUUGAAACUCCUAUCAGUGGAGAAGGCCAAGACAAAUCUGCAUAACAGCUUUACCAUUGUUUACUGUAGUGUUCCCAGUAACCUCCCAUAACUGAUCCCAUUUUAACAACAGAUUUAUUUUUCUUCUGCUGAGGAAGAUUGUCCAUGAGCUAACAUCUGCGCCAGUCUUCCUCUGUUUUGUACGUGGGAUGCAGCCACAGCGUGACUUGAGAGCAGUGCUAGGUCAUACCCAGGAUCCCAAUGCGUGAACCCCCGGGAGCUGAAGCAGAGCGCCUGACCUUAACCACUAUGGGACUGGGUGGCCCCGAUGAACAACAAAAUGUUAAAGCUAUUUUUCAGGGGCAGCGAGCAUGCGCAGAAGAGAAAAUUUUGACCUGCCAAUCAAACUCAUCCUGCCCCUCCUUGCAUACCAGCAGGCCCUCCCUAAUCCCUUAAACUCUACCCCAGCCUGGGAGAGAGAGAGACAUUUGAGAGCUUGGCCUCCUGUCUCCUUGCUGGUCCACCAUGUUUAAAGCCUUUUGUUUCUCAAAAGCAGGUGUGCCACUGUGUCAGCUUCUGUGCCCAUCAGGUGGCGAAGCCUUGCUUAGUAACAGUUUUAAGGGUUGGAACUUCAACCUGGGGAUCAUUGGGAACAUUUGAAGAUUUUGUUUUUAAAGGAGGUUCUAGUAGCAGUGUAAAAAUUGACCUGGAGAGGCAAGACUGGUGGCCAGGAGGCCCAUUAGGAGGCUGCUAUAAUCUAGCCUCAUCAGAGCUCAAGACCUGGCUCCAACUUCGUUGUGAUCGGGAGCAGGUUUACUUUAACCAGAAAGCGUGGCAGACUCUCAGGGUUGAUGUAAAAACAGCCCAGCCUGAUCAGAGAAAGCGGUUUGGGGUCAUUUCCCUGCAGAUGUGACUUUGAAAAACACCGGAAGUGCUGGGCUUCCUCCCUGGCACCCACUCUGCGUCUCCGGUGUGGGGCUGAGCACAGGAGGGCUGACUCCUCAGUCCACGACACCUGACUCUCCGCCACUGUGAUGGGCUUGGCCCUGUUGCUUGCUGAGGACAAGAGAACGUGGGCAAAGGUGGCAUAGUGCAAAUUCCAAGUCUAGACCUCUGGAGGCAUCGUGUAUUUCUGUUCACCCCUCUGGAAGUUUCCACCUUCCACCACAUUAGAAGAGCAUGGCCUAGGGAGCCGCAGCCCCUCCAGCCUGGCCCCACAAAGAGGCCCAGGGAGCAGAGCCCUCCCAGCUGACCUGCAGACCUGUGAGCAUAAGCACAAAUGCAUAUGGCU
rnacentral:lncRNA from 1 species